rnacentral:rRNA from 1 species
UGGGGAAUUUUGGACAAUGGGCGCAAGCCUGAUCCAGCCAUGCCGCGUGCGGGAAGAAGGCCUUCGGGUUGUAAACCGCUUUUGUCAGGGAAGAAACGCUCUGAGCUAAUACCUCGGCGUAAUGACGGUACCUGAAGAAUAAGCACCGGCUAACUACGUGCCAGCAGCCGCGGUAAUACGUAGGGUGCGAGCGUUAAUCGGAAUUACUGGGCGUAAAGCGUGCGCAGGCGGUUAUGCAAGACAGAUGUGAAAUCCCCGGGCUCAACCUGGGAACUGCAUUUGUGACUGCAUGGCUGGAGUGCGGCAGAGGGGGAUGGAAUUCCGCGUGUAGCAGUGAAAUGCGUAGAUAUGCGGAGGAACACCGAUGGCGAAGGCAAUCCCCUGGGCCUGCACUGACGCUCAUGCACGAAAGCGUGGGGAGCAAACAGGAUUAGAUACCCCUGUAGUCC